UGGGAAGAACAGAUAGUAUUGGUAUGUGAGAGCAAGGAGGCGCCUAACCCUCCCCCGACCUACCAACCUGUCGGGCGCCGCCAUUUACCCAGUGACCUCUUGUAUAGUCACACUUGAUCACUUUGCUUAUCCUUGGGGUACCUGCAUUGGAGCGCAGGUUGGUCAGGAUACCACUCUGGGAGACCAUUGGGGCCUCCUCUACUGUGACAAAGGAGUUCGGUUUGGACUGUUCCAUACUCAUCAACUUGUUACAACAAUACCUCUGAAGAAGACCCUUAGGGUCGAAACACGUUAGGAAUUGCUAUAUGCUUGUACCCGCUGUAUAUCAAUUUGUUGUGUCCUGUUAAAUGUAUGGAAUUUUAACGAUUUUGUAUUACCGCAACUCAUAUCUUAAACUACCCCUACAUCCCCAUUUUUUGUACGUGUCAUCCAA